UUUUAACCAAAGCCAGUCAACUUGGCAUGCAGCUCUCUCGCCUCUCCCCCGCUUUCCAUGUAAAGGCCACACCUGUGAGGAAGCCCUCUCCCACAGCUACUGUGAAAUACGGAUAGGAUCACUGAGCAUCAGAGGGGAGGGUCUGGACAAUCUCAAGGCGGCCCUGGGAGCUUCUAGCUUAAAUGGAAGAGCCGGAGCCGCCGGGUACCAUGAACCACAGCACCAGCGGCGGGAAAGCCGGGCGCGCAGGGCCCACGUGACGGGCG